AAAGGCUUAGUUGAGUUGAGUAACUCUUAUCAAAUCAUAUGAUUCAGUUCUAUUAUCGAUUCACAAAGGUUUCAAUUCAAUUCGAAUCUCGAUUUGACAACUAUGUGCAAUUUACAUUAUUCAGAAAACCAAAACCAACAAUACAGCUUAUUUAUCUUAAGAUGGAACACAUUCUGUAAAUCCUGGAUUGUUUGUCCAUCUUCCAACUUUGCUAUAUUCCAGAACUGAUUAUUCGGUAUACAAUAUUUCUGAACGAUGUAAAUUUACCUUGGUUAUUAGAGUUUAACAAAAAAAAAAAAA
rnacentral:misc_RNA from 1 species